AGGGGGUACAGAGGGGUCCCGGGAAUGGGCGGGUCUGGGGGUCCCGGUUCAGGAUAAGGGGGUCCAGAGGGGUCCCGGGAAUGGGCGGGUCUGGGGGUCCCGGUUCAGGAUAAGGGGGUACAGAGAGGUCCUGGUGGCAGAGAGGGGAGUGCAGAGGGUCUCCGUGCCCAGGAAUGGAGGUUCAGGAGGGUCCCCGUGUCCGGGAAUGGGAGCUCAGGGGGUCCCUCUGUCCCCUCGUUGCCCCCCAGGAGCCGCCCCCAGGCCCGGCGCUGGAGCCACGCGCGGCUCCGCCUCAGCCCCACCCCUGCUCGCGAUUGGUGCCGCCGCCGCGCAACAGCCAAUGGCAGCCGGCGGCGUUCGUGACGUCACCGGUUGCUGGGUGGAUUCCGGAGGCGCCGUUUGGGAGGAAAUCAUGCGUGCCAAGGACCUGUAGUCCGGGACAUGGCACGGAAAUGGAGACACAGAACUUCCUGCAGAGCCCAAGCCCCAAAUCCUGCAGCUGCUUUGGUUGUUCCUUACCUAGAGAACACCCUGAGAUCACCUGGAGCACAGAGAUGGAGGACAAGGACACCCCGAGCCCCACAGAGCCCCUGGGUGGAGGUGGGGGCUGAGGACACUAAGGCCCACAGGAGAUGCUGCAGGGACCCCCUACCUCACUGGGAUCCCCUCGAGUUCAAACCCCCACAUGGCUCCCCUGAAUUUUCUUGACCAGUGGAUAUUGGCUGCAUUUUUCCUUUGUUUCCAGGAAAGGUUUCUGUCCGUUUUUGGAUGUAGCCCCUAGAGGGGCUUCAUCUGCCCGAGAUGUACCUGAAAGCACUUCAAUAAAUACAACUGCUUUUUAUUCCCUUAAUGUUGUCUGGCCUAGUGCAGAGACCAGAGAGGGGGAACUAGUGGGGAGCUCUUCUGGAAUGAUCAUGAGCCAUUCAGGUCUUGGAAGGCUUAGUGGUGAUAUUUCUGAGGGUUUUUCCACGUAAAUUUUUGUGAUCUGGAGUUUUUUGGGCUGAAUCUUGGUGGUCUGGAGAUUUUUGUGAAUGCAAUAUGUCUGGUGACUUCUAGAGAUUGGUUGGGGCAGGAGGAAUCCCCAACAAAACGCUCUCAUACCUUGUUUUUCUCUCAGAAAUAGGAUUUCUCAUUUCCAAACCUCAGCCCUGUCUGUGGGCCCUGUCUUGGGGACAUCCGCUGGUGUCACCUCAAUCCAGUGUCCCCACUGCUCGUUGUCAACCUCUGGUCCGUGUCCUCAGUGUCCCUGUGUCACCCCUGUCCUGAUGUCCCCCUUGCCUGGCAUCACCCCCAGAUCCGUGUCCAUCUUGUCUUCAGUUGCAAUGCGAGAUGUAAGCAGAAGUAUUUAUUCUAUCACCAUCUGUUGAAACCAGGUGGAGCAGUGUUCUUUAUCUCUUCCAUGACCAUCCCUCAUAACUCCAGGGGGAGAUAUCCUCUGUUAAUGGGCCAGCCACUAAAACCAGGUGGGGCAGUUUUCUUUAUCUCUUCCACAACCCAUCCCCUGUUCAGGGAAAUACCUUCAGUUAAUGGGCCACUGAGCCUCACUGCCUGACUGCUAAAAUGACAAGAUCCCAUUGUGAGAUGCUCCGCCCAGGGGGAGGAGCCAAGCAUUGCUACCUGGAUAUAUUCUGACAUUUGGAACACCACAGUUGGGCUUUUCCCACUGGAUCCCCAGAGGAGCAGCUUUUCUUCUCCACUGGAUCCCAGAGGAAGACCAGACCAUCUACACCACCACCAGACCUUCAGAGGAAAACCACACCGUUUCGCAGGAUCAUUGCUUCAACAGAACCACGUCUGUCGCUCCAGGAGGAAUGCAGCCACCAUUUAAUUGGACUGCUACAAACACCCUGAUUUCCCAUUCCCAAACCUUGGCCCGAUGCAGGAGGAGGAGGCCGCGAGGAAGAGGAAGAUGGUGUGGGAGCCCCAGGCAGAUGAGGAGGAAGUCAGUGCCCCUUUCCCCCUCUCUCCUGCUCCAUCUCCCAGCCCAGCCUGGCCACUGGCUGCAGGAC